rnacentral:rRNA from 1 species
AAACCAACAGGGAUUGCCUCAGUAACGGCGAGUGAAGCGGCAAUAGCUCAAAUUUGAAAUCUGGCCCGUCAGGGUCCGAGUUGUAAUUUGUAGAGGAUGCUUUGGGCCAGGUGCCUUCCGAGUUCCCUGGAACGGGACGCCGCAGAGGGUGAGAGCCCCGUACGGUUGGAUGCGGUGCCUAUAUAAAGCUCCUUCGACGAGUCGAGUAGUUUGGGAAUGCUGCUCUAAAUGGGAGGUAAAUUUCUUCUAAAGCUAAAUAUAGGCCAGAGACCGAUAGCGCACAAGUAGAGUGAUCGAAAGAUGAAAAGCACUUUGAAAAGAGGGUUAAAUAGCACGUGAAAUUGUUGAAAGGGAAGCGUUUGCGACCAGACCUUUUCCUAGCGGAUCAGCCCGUGUUCUCACUGGUGCACUUCGCUAGGUGGAGGCCAGCAUCGGUUUUCGCGGGGGGAUAAAGGCGGGGGGAACGUAGCUCCCUCGGGAGUGUUAUAGCCCCUCGUAGAAUACCCCCGCGGGGACCGAGGACCGCGCCUUCGGGCAAGGAUGCUGGCGUAAUGGUCGUCAACGAC